rnacentral:lncRNA from 1 species
UCAAUCAUUAUUUCAAAUUAUUAUUACUUUCAACAACUAAAGAAAAUUUCGACAAAACAAUUGUUCUUGCAUAUAAUCAUAGAUCCUAAUUAUGCUGUAAAAUUUUUCUAAUAGCGCCAACUGGAGCAUUGUUAAUAACAUCCUCCUCAAUCCCACAAGUGCAUCUUCCAUUCACACAAAAGGGAAUAGCAUCGCGACAUUGAAACCAACAAUCCUUCCAUGAUUUGCACGGUCCAUCUGAACCUUCUACACUCUGCAAGCCUAUAAAAAAAAUAAGAAUUAGUAUUUUAUAAUAAAGCUUUAUAAUAUUUUUGUUUGAAUAUGGUAAAAUAAUAGUACUAACUCAUGUAAAAAUAAGAAUUAAUAUUUUAUAAUAAAGCUUUAUACUAUUUUUGUUUGAAUAUGGUAAAAUAAUAGUACUAACUCAUGUAAAAUAAAAUAAUACUAGACAAUAGUAUAAUUUUAUUGUCAUACCAACAAGGGUUGUGACUUGUGGUAGAGUGGUAAGUACUCAUUCAUUCUUAAUAAGAAGUUUUGAAUUCGAGUCCCUUGGUAUGGAGUUGCCUUUAUAAGGAAGCGCUUUACCUCUAAUGUGGGCUUCCCGGCGUGAAUCCGAAUUUAUUUGGGCCUUAAUGUGGGUACUGACACCGAGUGGAAACCAAAUUUUUUAUAGGCAUACAAUCAAAUCAUAAUUAAACUAGGAUUUAUUUGAAUGAUAGAGUAAAAGAGAGAGUAAUACCUAUCGUGAUAAG